rnacentral:lncRNA from 1 species
UCAGAACCAGCUCUGGGCUCCUAGUGCGCUCUGGGUAUCCAUCUGGUUUGGGGGCUAUUUUGAUCCACCGGAUGCAGAGCAGCCGCCGAGAUCUGGGACUGGGUGGCUAGAGCGGCGCCUUUAUCUACAGAAGGACAAUUUAAAAACUAACGUCAAGCCCAGAGAACAAAUAAAUAAAUUCCUCUUUCUGUUCAUAAUGCUCUCUCUGCCUGUUUCUACAGGAGAAGUUCUGCUCUCUCUCACACUGCUGGUUGAGAAGUGGCUCUCAGCUACCCAAGGUGCAGAGCAGCUAGGAGGGACUAGGGUAAGAAGGAGGAGAGAGGAUGCUUUGUCUUCCUUCUCUCCCU